CGAUUUCCACUGCUUUCUUGCAUAAGGUUUUCCAGGUAUUGAUAUUAAUGUUAUUUACUUGAUUCGAAAAACCCAGUGACAUGCUUUGUUAUUUGUCGACAUCUGUUUCACUGAAUGUUUUUUGUAUGGGUUUGUUGUUGUUUGUAGUGUUCCGGGGUUCGCAGAUUUUUUUUCUUUUUCAUCAGAAUAUUCGUUUUGAUGUUUGUUUUUUUAGGUUUUCUUUAUCUUUUGGUGUGAAGAUUUUGCUUACUUGGUUGUAUUUUUUCAGAUCCAUUUUUUUGCUUGCUCGGUUGUAUUUUUUCUGAUCCAGCUGAUGGAGCUACUGCUCUCGAAGGAUCUUUUAAUGUUGAUCUAUCGUUAUUUAAAAUGCCGCUUAUGCAAUAUAUAACUUGAAAUGCGGCUUUGUUUAUUUUGCGGAGCAAUCAAAUGCUAUGAAAGCACUAAAGAAUAAUGAAAGAUAUGAAUUAGAAGGGGUAUUCUAAGUUUUCCGGUCGAAUGUUAGAGUGUUCUCUAGCAAAUCCACGAGCUAAUCAGAAGGUUGUGGUAUCAAAUGUACAGAAUCAAGGAUUGCUUCCAAGUUAUCACCACAACUUGGUUAUGGUCUGAUAGGUAAUCCCUAUGGAGCACUUGGUGUCGGAUAUGGUGCUCCCGGUUUUGGACAGGUGAUCCGUGAUUUUAUGUUUUGAUUAUCCACCACAGCUUGUGUAUAACCUUGAAUAAGGGACUUCCAUGUCAUGUCCACAUGUUUCAGGCCUUGCAGGAAGCAUUAAAUCUAGAAAUCCCACUUGGAGUGUCUCUCCAAUCAGAUCAGCCAUCAUGACUGGUUAGAUUUUUCUUUUUGAUAUAAUAUGUAAUUCUUGAUAUGAUAAUAACUUAUCAACUCAUAUAUUUUGAAAAGCAGCAACUCAAUUUAUUAAUCUGAAGAGUUCUGCAGCAACUCUUAUAUUUUGGUAUACUCUUCUUCAAUUUUCUCACUUUUUGCAAGGAAAUGCGUUGCAACCCGUCGACGUCUCUCCUUGCAUCAUCAACACGAGAUUGAAACAUUUUAGUAUGGAUGCUGCAUGGUGAUGAAUUUCUAGCGGAUUGUGCAGGGUCGAUCUAAAGUGUUAAUUUACUGGCUUUUUGAAAUGUUUAAAGCGUUAAGUUACUGACUUUUUGAAAUGUACAUGUUCGUUUUAGUUUUUGUUUUGGCUUUUGUUUGGGCGAACCUAACUGAUGCGGUUUUUUCUGUUAGAAUAGUUGCUUCUUUUGUAAUGUAAUGGAAUUGUUAGUA